CCCGGUUGAUCCUGCCGGAUGAAUAGGCUCGUCUCAAAGAUUAAGCCAUGCAUGUCUAAGUUCAGCCGUAAGGCGAAACUGCGAACGGCUCAUUAUAUCAGUUAUAGUUUACUUGAGAGUAUUACUACAUGGAUAACCGUAGCAAUUCUAGAGCUAAUACAUGCGAAAACUCCUGACCGUAGGGAUGGACGUAUUUAUUAGAUUGUACCUUCACUGAAGGUGAGUCAUAAUAACUGAACGGAUCGUGUAACGAUGAUUCAUUCAAGUUUCUGCGGCAUCAGCUGUCGACGGGAGUGUAUUGGACUCCCGUGGCUGUAACGCCUAACGGAGAAUUAGGGUUCGACUCCGGAGAGGGAGCCUGAGAAACGGCUACCACUUCCAAGGAAGGCAGCAGGCGCGAAAAUUACUCAAUCCUAACCCAGGGAAGUAGUGACAAGCAAUACCGAUAGGGAUCCUUUUGGAUUCUUUGUUGGAAUGGGCGUAAUUUAAACCCCUACGUGAGUACCCACUGGAGGGCAAGUCUGGUGCCAGCAGCCGCGGUAAUUCCAGCUCCAGUAGCCUAUCCACAUGUUGUUGCAGUUAAAAAGCUCGUAGUUGAAUGUCUGGGAUUUGAGUCUGCCGCUCAGCGGCGACUCUGCCCGCCCCGCCGAAAGGCGCUUUUACUGUGAAAAAAUUAGAGUGUUCCAAGCAGGCCUAGCCUGAAUACCUUAGCAUGGAAUAAUAACAUAGGACUGUCUGUGAUGUUGUUGGUUUGCAUCCAGCGGUAAUGAUUAAUAGGGACGAUCGGGGGCAUUUCUAUUCAGCAGUCAGAGGUGAAAUUCUUGGAUUUGCUGAAGAGAAACUGCUGCGAAAGCGUCUGCCAAGGGCGUUUUCAUUAAUCAAGAACGAAAGUCAGGGGAGCGAAGAGGAUUAGAUACCCUCGUAGUCUUGACCAUAAACCAUGCCGACUCGGGAUUGGUGUUCGCCGCAGGGCACAUCAGCACCGUAUGUAAAAACAAAGUCUUUGGGUUCCGGGGGGAGUCUGGUCGCAAGGCUGAAACUUAAAGGAAUUGACGGAAGGGCACCACCAGGAGUGGAGCCUGCGGCUUAAUUUGACUCAACACGGGAAAACUUACCAGGUCCGGACGCAAUGAGGAUUGACAGAUUGAAAGCUCUUUCUUGAUUCUGUGGGUGGUGGUGCAUGGCCGUUCUUAGUUGGUGGAGUGAUUUGUCUGGUUGAUUCCGAUAACGAACGAGACCCCCGCCUGCUAAUGUAGAUCAGGCUCAUCGAGUAUUGUAUCUUCUUAGAGGGACUAUCGAUGUCAAGUCGAUGGAAGUUGGGGGCAAUAACAGGUCUGUGAUGCCCUUAGACGUUCUGGGCCGCACGCGCGCUACACUGACUAGUCCAACGAGUGUUUGUACCUUUGCUGAUAGGCAUGGGCAAUCUCUGAACACUAGUCGUGAUAGGGAUCGAUUUUUGGAAUUAUUAAUCGUCAACGAGGAAUUCCUAGUAAACGCGAGUCAUCAGCUCGCAUUGAUUACGUCCCUGCCCUUUGUACACACCGCCCGUCGCACCUACCGAUUGAAUGGUCCGGUGAAGCCUCCGGAUUGGACGUUCUGGCCCUGCCAGGCGGCCGAGAAGUUGGCUAAAUCUUACCAUUUAGAGGAAGGUGAAGUCGUAACAAGGUUUCCGUAGGUGAACCUGCGGAAG
rnacentral:rRNA from 1 species